UAUGUGAUCGUCUCUCGCAUAUCAAUAAGCGGAGGAAAAGAAACUAACAAGGAUUCCCCUAGUAACGGCGAGUGAAGCGGGAAGAGCUCAAAUUUGAAAUCUUAAAGGGUUUCCCUUUACGAAUUGUAGUUUAAAGAAGUGUUUUCUGUUGAGGUUUUGGUAGAAGUUCUUUGGAAUAGGACAUCAUAGAGGGUGAGAAUCCCGUAUUUGACCUUUACUUUCAACUUUGUGAUACACUUUCAAAGAGUCGGAUUGUUUGGGAAUGCAGUCCAAAAUGGGUGGUAAAUUUCAUCUAAAGCUAAAUAUUGGCGAGAGACCAAUAGCGAACAAGUACCGUGAGGGAAAGAUGAAAAGAACUUUGAAAAGAGAGUUAAACAGUACGUGAAAUUGUCAAAAGGGAAGCGUUUGACACCAGUGUUGUUUUUCUGAAAAUCAAUUAAAGAACUGUUUAUGCUAAGCUGUUUAGACUUUAUCAGCUAUCUGUUUAGUUUUGAGCUUUUCUUUAAUGCACUUUUCAGUUAACAAGUCAACAUCAAUUUCUUUUGCUGUAAAAAAGCUUGAGGAAGGUGGCUUGAGAUUCGUCUUAAGUGUUUAUAGCCUCUUGCCUAUGCAGUCGGAGAGAUUGAGGUCUGCAGCGUAGAUCCUUCGGGGCUAAAUGCAUUUGUGCUAAGUUAUAGCAUUUUAUAGACAACUUGUUGACUAUGAUUUGUCUUGUAGCUUACUCGCUUAUGUUAUUUUACCUACGCUUAGGAUGUUGAAGACUCUACAGAGAUA
rnacentral:rRNA from 1 species